AGAACGAACGCUGGCGGCGUGGAUAAGACAUGCAAGUCGAACGCGAUUUAUCAGGUUAGCAAUAACUUGGUAAAUUGAGUGGCGAAAGGGUGCGUAACACGUGGGAAAUUACCAAGAAGUGGGGAAUAGCUCGACGAAAGUCGAAUUAAUACCGCAUACGAUCGCAAGAUCAAAGCCGGGGACCGCAAGGCCUGGCGCUUUUUGAGAUGCCCGCGGCCCAUCAGCUAGUUGGCGGGGUAACGGCCCACCAAGGCUAUGACGGGUAGCUGGUCUGAGAGGACGACCAGCCACACUGGAACUGAGACACGGUCCAGACACCUACGGGUGGCAGCAGUCGAGAAUUUUUCACAAUGGACGAAA
rnacentral:rRNA from 1 species